rnacentral:rRNA from 1 species
AAUUCGAUUAGAGUUUGAUCCUGGCUCAGAUUGAACGCUGGCGGCAUGCCUUACACAUGCAAGUCGAACGGCAGCACGGGAGCUUGCUCCUGGUGGCGAGUGGCGAACGGGUGAGUAAUACAUCGGAACGUACCCAGGAGUGGGGGAUAACGUAGCGAAAGUUACGCUAAUACCGCAUAUUCUGUGAGCAGGAAAGCGGGGGAUCGCAAGACCUCGCGCUCUUGGAGCGGCCGAUGUCGGAUUAGCUAGUUGGUGAGGUAAAAGCUCACCAAGGCGACGAUCCGUAGCAGGUCUGAGAGGAUGAUCUGCCACACUGGGACUGAGACACGGCCCAGACUCCUACGGGAGGCAGCAGUGGGGAAUUUUGGACAAUGGGGGCAACCCUGAUCCAGCCAUGCCGCGUGAGUGAAGAAGGCCUUCGGGUUGUAAAGCUCUUUCGGCGGGGAAGAAAUGGCAACGGCUAAUAUCCGUUGUUGAUGACGGUACCCGCAUAAGAAGCACCGGCUAACUACGUGCCAGCAGCCGCGGUAAUACGUAGGGUGCGAGCGUUAAUCGGAAUUACUGGGCGUAAAGCGUGCGCAGGCGGUUUCGUAAGACAGACGUGAAAUCCCCGGGCUCAACCUGGGAACUGCGUUUGUGACUGCGAGGCUAGAGUACGGCAGAGGGGGGUAGAAUCCACGUGUAGCAGUGAAAUGCGUAGAGAUGUGGAGGAAUACCGAUGGCGAAAGCUGCCCCCUGGG